UCUCUCUUUCUCUCUUUCUCUCUUUCUCUCUCUCUUUCUUUCUUUCUUUCCUUCUUUCCUUCUUUCCUUCUUUCUUUCUUUCUUUCUUUCUUUCUUGUGUGUAGCCCUUUGGAUUGAAAACAAGAGUUGCUCACUACAUACGGAGAUGGAACCCUCACAGCUUGACUGCUUUAUGGAAACAGAAUAAAAGAAAAAAAGUUGUUUUAAAAAUAGUAAUUUGAGUUUGUUACUGCAGGGAAAUCUGACAUUCUGCAAUAGAUCGCAUGCUUCACUGUGAACUUUAAGCAUUUUCCGUGUUCCUCCAGUGGCAGCAGCACUACUGCUGUGAACACCUUUAGCACUCUGCCUUUAGCAUUCUUGGUAUAUCUCUUUUUAUUCGCAUGUAGUUGACCCAGACAUAGCUGCAAAGGGAAAUUGUUCCUCUGUUUCAGAGUCUAUGAUACAGGUAGUGAGGUUUUUUUCACUUGUAUUUCCACAUCUACUGUACAGAUGGAUCCAGAGGCCCUUUCCAGCUGUUCUCUGUGAUGCUGUGAAGUCACUAUAUCACUGUUCAACAGAAGUCGGCGUACCAGAAGGCAAACUGAAAAAUACACCAAUACUAUUUCUAACCUACUACUCCAUUCAUUGUGGUCAAACUGUAAUUGAGGGAUUGCAGUGAUGAAAGAGUCAUUCCUAAAAUGCCUCGUGUGGCCUCUCACUGUUUUGCAAAAAAUUUUAGUGAAGAGUUCCAAAAAAAUGUUGGGGAUUUCAAGGGGAAUUCCAGAAGCUGUUGGAAUAUUUUGCGUAUGUGUUUGUUUUUAAACAGUAAAGGCAGCUUUAUGAGCCAGUGGUUUUGAAUGUCAUUUCUUGUGUGGUGCUGUGCCUGGUGUUGGACUAUGAGACUGAAGCUGAGUGAAAAGAACGAAGAAAAGGUCUCGUAGAAGUGCAGGGUUGCUCAGUGAGGUGGAAGAGUUCCUGUGGAUUCCUACAACUUCUUUCUUACUGUCUGUUCCUCUGAAUACACAACUGCUUCGCUCUUAAACUUGAAAGCGGUUCCUCAUAUGGAAAAUUGUUCCUUCAUCAUCACACCAUAAAUAAUCGAAGCUGGAUGAGUUCCUCUGCUUCUCUGGCUUGCCGAGUAUUGCCCUUCUCCAGCUGCAGAGCUACAGUUUCCUAUGGCUAACUUGACAUAGUUGCUGGCAGUAAAUUUUUACUUCGUUUAUUUAUUAGAAUUUAGAUGUCUGCUGUUUUGCUCCAUCAGAAUUUCUGUCAUACCUCGUUAGAUGCUUAUUUUAUCUACUGUUCACUGAGCUCCUUAGAGUCAGUGUCAUAAGAAGGAUGAACAGGUAUUUAGGAGAGCAGAUUUCAACCCUAACUUUGUGCAGCUGAUGCUGACGUUUGAGAAUCGCCAGCUUAUCUAGGCUCAGCCGUGUAGUAUAUUAUAUUUCUACACUGCAUCCACCUACAUACGCAUCGAUUUAAAAGAAAUGUAUACUUCAAAUUCAGCUCGUGUCAGUUAUUAUUACCAAACCUGUACAAUGUAGGUUUGCGAUUAUUAUGCAUAAAGAUUAACACACUAUUAACUGUAGUAGUUUGACUUGUCAAGUUCCUUAUGGCUCUAAAAAUGAAAAUCUCUUCAUGCUGAGUCUGACACAGAAAAAAUCUGGUGUCAUGGAGAAAAUUCUGAUAGCUUAGAAAGAAUGGCAAAGUUUGUCCUCAUUUCAGUGUGUGGUUUUACAGUUGAUCUGUCACAGUUUAUGAUUUCCUCCACUUUUUCUUAAAGUGUCCUAAUUUUUCUUUGUUAUUAAGACUGAGGAGGACCCAAGCAGGCAGGUGCGUUUCAUGAAGACGUGUUGAUUUCCUCUCCCCUUGCAGGCAGACACAUCUGUGGAUCGAAUUGUCUGGGUGACCUUGCUGUGCAGGCACAGUGCCGGGCAACACGAAGAUCUGGCUUCAGCGCGUGACUUUGUGGCUGACCUUUCUGCAGUUCCAAAGUAAAAAUUGUGAAUUUCAGUGGAAGAAAUAGGAUACUUUUCAGACAUGAGUGAAUUUCUAAUUCCUCACUGGCAAACCUUUAAGAAAUUCUGAAACGGACAGUAACAUACCUCUAUAUUUGUGCUUUGCUUGACAAUUUUAUUUAUCUAGCAGUACCAGCAGCAUUCUAAAACUUGAUAGGUCUGGGGCUGUCAAGUACAAAGGCAGCUUUCUCUGCUUCUUUUUUCACAUUUUAUUGACUUUUGCAUGUAAGCAUUAGGAAUGAUGAGAUGAAUUACGAUUUCUGCUACUGACAAAAGCAUACACAUUAUUCUGAAGUUAUUUUGCAGAAAUUUACAAUUUUAUCUAGAAUAACUGAUUAAGUCAGUGAAAAGAAAAUUCUUUCAGAAAGAGAUAUGUAAGCAAACUGUUCAUGCAUGGGUUUCUCUGCACACUGUUGUGGAUGAAAUUGGUGGAUGACAGACCUACUGGUAGAUGCCAACAGUUUCCUCUUAUCCAGAGUUAUUAAGAGUGGCAAAGGGAAGUGAGAUUUAAAAAAUUCCUUGCUGUCUGACUUGAGUUUUGUUCAGUAUUCCUGCUGUGCCAGUACAUAUCAUGGCCCAAGGCGUGGUAUUCAGUCAUUUUCUAAGGCACUUGCAGCAUGUAGUAUAUCUCAGUGGAAGAAAGGAGAAGCAGUGUGCAGAGCAGAGAGCAAUGAUGGAGAGCAACACAACCCAUUGAAUGCAGGAUGUGUGGCUGGCCCUUGGUGACCUGCGUGCGUGGAAGUUUCUGCUGUAGCCUUCCUCUGAACUUCUCCCUGUGAUGCCUGUAGUUACGUGAUUCUAGAGUCUGCUGUCGCUUGAGAUAUGUGAGCCUGUAGCAUUCCUGGCUUCCCAUGCCAUAAACUCAUCCAAACAGCAGAGCUGACUACAAAUACUCCUCCUUUUGGGGCCUCAGUUACAGACUUGGAGCUAGGUGAGCUCCAUCCAGGCUGCUAGACCAGACCCACCACCUGCCAGUUUACCGGGGAAAGCAUCUUUCAGCUUUAUUCCAAGAAAGUGAAAUCUAAUGCUGCGUCUUGCAAAACAGGAGCAUGACUUGCUCAGUUUCCUGCAGAUACAUCACUGACAAGUAGCAGUAGGAAAAAAAAGCUAACCGUAGCUGUAAGAAACAGAAACAGUUAAGUGUCUUAAGUGCAAUUGGAAAAAGACAGAAUGUCCCAUCGCUAACAUAGAAGUGUCUCAUACAGGUGUGGUAGCAUAAAGCAGCAAUGCCGAGACACUGUCAGAUUUUUUGUCCCUUUUUCUCUCUCUUCCUUUCUCUUCUUCCUUUUCUCUUUCUAAAGCGGCCUUGCCUUUCAGCAUCCUCUGUGAACCACUCUGGCUGAACACAGUUUUGAAAUGACUCAACAAAGUCAAAUGGUGCCAUAUAUGAUGUCUGUGCUGUGGCUGCAGCAGUUGCACGUGGCUUGGCAGGCUGGGGAUGUGUGGGGCUGAGGCAGCUGCAGCGAGGCCCGACAGCCCCAUUGCAGCAGCCCUGGCCUGCUUGGCAUCUUGGCAAAGAGUUCUGUCAGCGGCACCGCUGGCCUGUCCCCAAGGGUAGGGCUGCCAGCGUUAAUGAGGUGUCAGUGUGGGAGCUGGUAUUUUAAGCACCGCUACAAGCAAUUUUGUGACAUUUGUAAAGAAAGAACCGAACUUGGGAUAAAAAAAUCCCCCCAAGACCAAAUAAAGUGAUGGUUUCAGCUGGUGAUGCUUCAGUAGUGAGAACAUGUUUUGGCACAAAACCGCAUCCUUUCUGUUGUUGUAGAGCCUGGCCAAGGCCUUUGUAUACCUGCACAAAGGGCUCUUACUCGGAGCGCUCCGUGCUUUCUGGGGCUUCGGGCUCUCUGCCUUUCAUUCACAGUGAAUACACUGCUUUUUUCUACUGUUGAUUUAGGAUGAAAAUAAAGCAUUUUAUUUCCUGUAUGCUAAGAAAUUUUGUGCAGCUUUGGGUUUAGUCUGACUUCUGAACAUAUACCCGAUCAAGGAGAUCAAUAUACAUUCCUACAGCUAGAAGCAAUAAAUGACACGGCGAGGGAGGAAAGCAAUAAAUACCCCUUUGACCAUACCUCUGAAGCAAAGCAAUUGCUUUUCAGUGGAAGUUUGAUUUCUUCAUGUUUUUAGUUAAAAGCUUUUAUUAAUUUUAACUGAAGUAAAUAUGUUAUGCUUUGCUUUUCAAAUCAAUCCUUUUACAGCUCGGAGUCCUUGGAGCUUGAAUCCUCUCCAGCCAUAUUCUGCUAUCUGCCAAUUCCUUGCUAAGUGCAAACCUGACACUGCUGCCAAUAAAUCCACCUUCGUGCCAUUUAAAGUCAUCUGCCGUAUUUCUGUGGAGCUAAUCAAAGUUUGUGAGAAGACAUUUUUUGAAGGGGAUGGAAUUCUGGUCAUUUCAAUUCAGUAAGUUAAUUAAAAUUAAUAGCAGUGAACUAUGAAAGAGAGAAGUGGUACAGUUCGUUUGAACGCUCACUUAUUCUCUGUUGUUGGAGGAGUUUUCCAGGGCAGAACAGAUUUUUGUUCUGCUGCUGUCUGUGGUGCUCUCCCCACCCAAUUUUAGACUUCUGAAUGCAGUGAGCCCCGGCUCCGAGCUGAUUGCGUCCCUGUGAAUGCCAAGCACUGCUUUAUUUUUACCUGGCGAGACGGCUGGCCUGAUAAAUGGAUGGGAUGCCAGCACUGCAGGAGACAACGAUGAUGUCUGCACGGGUUCAUAAGUCUGCAGUUUUCCAGGAGCAGAAUUUCCAAUCCCUUCACACGCAGACAUGAGCCACCAAACACAAACUUAUAAAGGAUUAGGUCUGUGGAACAUUUUCUUUGGACUUUGUAGAGCCAUACUGUACACUAUGUACACCAGUUAUUUUUCCUUUAUUAAGUGCACUAGCAGUAUGAUUAUUAUACUACCAACAUAUUUAUGGCUGAUCUGAUUCCUGAAAUACGCUGUGGCCAUCUGGGUUCUUCCAGGAAAUUGGAUUAAUUAUUGAAUUGUUUGAAUUUCAUAUAACAAAACGUGCUGCUCUUGCUGGUUAGCAGUCCACAUAGAGUUUAAACAAUAUUUCUGAGAGUGAUUUAUUGGUAGAGCGGAAAAGCCUGGUGCUGAAUCCAUCCAUUGGGAUUUGCUUACAUUAGGAAGCAGUGCAGGUGGCAGUCUGUUUCAGCACCGAAUGGAUUUUCCCCUUUUCUCUCUGAUAAAUGAAGUGCUUAUAUAAGGUGAAAGAUUGAAAAAGCGAGCGGUGCGGAGCCCCCAGGGAGCUGUGCGGGCAUGGGGCUGGGGUUGCUGGCCUUGCUGGGCUGUGCUGGGGGCUGUGGGGCCUGCCUGGGGCCCGCUGGGGCUGUCAGGGGCUGCUUGGGCUCAGUCAGCAACCUGGGGAUGUGGCUUGAGGAGGGCUGCUGAUGGCAUCACAGAAUCAUAGAAUGGUUUGGGUUGGAAGGGGCCUUUAAGGUCAUCUAGUGCCAACCCCCGCUGAAGUGUUCACCUGGAGCUCCCAGUGAUAUGUGCAGCACAGGAGGGUGUUUUGACACCAAACUCAUUUUGUCUGUCACUUGAUAACAAAUUGUACCCAUAGCUCUAUCGUUGUUGACUUCCUGUAAGCGUGGAGCUUCUGUCUCAUGUUUUUGUUGUGCGCAUAAUGGAUCGUGUCUGGUUUUGAAUUAGUUCUCAACAAAUUGUUCUGAAUCUUUAUUGUAUGUGGGACUACUCCUUUUCGUUAUUGCUAAUAUACAAAAUAUUUCUCCCAAAUAAUUAAUUUGGUGUCAUUUAAUGACAAACAUUUGAUGGCUUUUACUGUCAAAUACUGUAUGUAAACUCCUCGCGGCGUCAUAUCUAUAAAUUGUUUUAGAGCCUGAUUACAUCAGCCCCUUUAAAGAGGAUCCAGGCUCACUAGCAGUGCUUCCUGCAAUGCACAUCUCUAGAGAAAACUGACAUUGGACUUUUACAGCCAGGACCAAUCAGGCUCAGCCCUUCCAUGCUCUCCACAACAUUUAGAUGAAUCCCAUUCUUGAGGUGCAGCUCGAGCAGCCUGUCAGCUGUCUGGGCUGUGUGCCCCCGGGCACCACGUUCCCACUGUCAGCCAUGAGAAAUAGUGCCCCUUGUGCAGCCGUGUACGAGGAAAGCGCGAUGAUGAAUCCACAAGUUGGAGUUAGGGGAGAAAGUGAAGUAGUGUUUACUCAGUGCUGAGGAAGGUUUUGUUCUAGUAGUUGCACCUGCUGUCAGAUGGGGAAUUGUUCUGAUGUUCGUGGCUUCCUACCUCGUGUAGUUACGGGCAUUCAUCCUUACUUAAAAGAAAAAUUAGGUUUUGCCCUUAGUCCAUCUUCUGGGUGUGCCUACAACGAGGCAGGGGUUUUGAAAAGAAAAAAGGAAAAUAGAGUGAGCUGCAAUACAGCGUAACGAAACAUCCAGAAAAAAAUGGGCAGGAAAUCUCUGACAAAUGCAGGCAGUCUGAGCGUGAACGUUUCCAGGUAAAGUUCCUGAUAGAUGAGACUUCCUGCUCAGCAGCUCCAACGACACUGAAAUAUAAUUAAGAAGGCCUUUGGAACUGAAGGAAAACAAUCUUUUAGCUUUGGAGGACUUGGAAGAGACAUUCCUGCUGAUGUAGGGGCAUAGUACGAAGUCUAUCACUUAGAAUUGCUGCUCAAUUCUAUGUGCAGUAUUUGCUUUCAGUGUUCCUCUCUGACAGCAUACGAGAGCGGUGCUUUCACGUGGAGCAGAGCUGCUACAACUUCCAUCACCUUUAAGCCUAUGAAGCAAGUGAGUUUUCAGUUUACAGUGUCAGAAGCCUUAAAAUACCAAGCCAUUAUAACAAAGCUUCUUGCCAUUCACCUUUUCACCUUUCAAGUUUCCUGCCCCUCAUUAUAUUGGUGUUACACGUAAUUCACACCAGUAUCAGUAUCAGCCCAGACAUCCAGCGGUCUCACUGUCUGCAGGCAAACCAUGUCGGUGUCCUAAUAAACCUCUAAAUGCAUCCAAAUCCUUCUGAAGGCUUUCAGACGACACAGCAGAUAGUGCUUAGCUCGCUGUCAAAUUGAAGUGAUUACUUGAUUUCUAAGUGCUGGGCUUCUGAGAACAAAAGCAGUGUGGUAAAUGCAGCCACCUUCCUUCUUUGGUGAGCAUACGCCAGCAGGCGGUGCAAAGCGAGAGCUCGUUUGAAUUGCAGAGCAAGUGUGUCUUAUCUCAUUGACUACGAGAAAAUUGCAUGUGUAACAGGAGAAGUCCUGUUUCUGAUUGCAGUGAUCCCAACAAUGGGUCAAGAAAUCCCAGAGCUGCCUUUGGAGUUCAGUCAGUGCAUGUUCUUCCUGGUGGGUUACCCUGCAGCCACAGGUGGAAGAGUGAAGUUCCAUCAGGAAGCCUAAGCUGAGAUAAGGGAAUCAAGGAGUAGAUUUAUUGGCUCAGAAGGAAGGCAGCUGCUGUGCACAAUAACAAUUCAAACUGGAAUAAAUUGGUCUGGACUCACCGAACAAAUUGCAGCUUGCAGAAAGCACCAAGUUGGGGUAAUAAAUGCUGGAGAGGAGUUAAAAAAGUUCAGAAGUGUCUUUAGAGCUGGUUAUUUUAGAAGGAUGAAGGCACAUAAAGGUAACCGAAAAGGGAUGUAAAUGUGUUUUUAUCCAGCAAAGUCACUGUGAGGGAUUAAAUGUAAAGACUGUUCGGUUCCUUGCUCUGUGUUAAAUCCUCUGGGCAGCUUUCCUUGCCCUCCUGUUUGCUCUUUCACACCUGGGAGCAUCCCAUGGGAGCAGAAGCACUGCACAGGCAUGAAGCACAGUGCCCCGAGCCCGGUGCCUGAGUGGGCAGAAAGCAGAACAUUCCUGUAUUGUAAUAUUCUUUAUUGUAGCCUCUACAACACCAAAUCUUUGCCAAGGGCAGCAGUGCAUCAGCCCAAGCAGAAAUUACUGAUUGAGGAAGGACUGGUCAUGGGUGCCCAAAGGAGUUUCUUCCUCACAAACUGCAAAGGCACUUUGUUUGCUGUACAUUUUGCUCCCUUGUACACAGUUUCCUUCUGUAGUGUUGGUGGUUGGUCGAUGUUUUAUAGGUGGUCUGGGAAAAAGUAAUUAAGCAGGUCUGGAAGUAUUUGCAGGGAUUUCAAAGAGAAAGACUGAAAUACCCUAGGAAAAAUGGCCUUGAAAACUUAACAGCAGCUUGAUUUUCUUAUGCACCAUGGCAAAUAGCAUUCUUUGUUGCCUUUCCAUCCACACCCCCUCCUGUUGGGGUGCAACAAUCCUUUCCAGCAAUUAAAACAAAUCAGAAGUGAAAAAUGACAAACCAGGUGAGGGUGAGCAGCAGGGCUGACUGACGUGGGCCAUUUCCCCAUUUCCCAUCCCUGCUGUGUUCACGGGCACGAUGUUUGAACCAGGGCAGCUGUUUGCAAUCUCCAGCGGCGUCCCAGCGAGGAAGAAGUGACUUGUCAUUGGGAGCACGUUACUUUUUAUCCCGUGUAAAGUGCUUUGCUGGAGAAAUCUGAUACAACUUCUAUGUUAAAAUAAUCAAUGUACUUUUUGCUUUGCUGCACUUUGAUACCUGAAUCUUGAAAGGCUUUGCUUCAGCUGCUGAGAAAGUGGGGAGCCAACAGCCCUCGGGCCCCCCCAGAACAAAGGGGAGGAGCUCCAGAGCUGGAGGCAGAACGGGAGGAGCAGCCCAUGGCUUUCCUGGCCUGGCCAGGGAUGCAGCCAUUGCUGGCAAACUCCUCCAGUAUUCCCCUCAGGCUUACAAUACCUGCUAACUCUUCACAGAUUUCAUUAGGAUUCUCCUAAUGUUUUAACCAGUUGUUAUUAAAAACAUGCACUGAAGUGUCUUGGAACGCCAGGCCCUCUACAAGCCUGUUGCCCAUCUCUCCUUGGUGCCUCUCAGCCAUGCAGUGGCAUUCUCUCAGCCGGCCUCUGCCCGCUGUGAAUGCACUUCAUUAAAUCAUCAUUUUUUGCAUAGCAUCUCUUAACAGAGGCACAGGUUGCUCAUACUUAAUGCAUUGCACCAUGCAAAAAGUCCUUUAUCCUGCUAAAUAAUUAUAGUAAAUUAAGUUGAGGGUAGGUAACUCUUGGGUGUACGUGCAAGACUUCAUGUCUUUAAUUAUCUUCUGACUUCAGAAAUGUUUCCAAAUGUUAGUUCAAUAUUGAGGAUGCACUGAAAUGCUACAAGUGCUGAGCUUGCUUUUCCCCCUUUGUUAUGUGUUCUGGCUCAUGCAUGGAUGCCCCUCAUUCGAUAGAUGUUUACAAUGGAGACAUGCCAGUCAUCCCCAGUUUCUGUGCAAUGAAAUCCUGUCGGUGGGAUGUGGGCACCCUCAGUUUUACACCUGCAUUCCUGUUUAAUUUCCUUUGAAGGAUUUUAGCGGGUUUCUCAUUUGGCAGUGUUCACAGCCCUGCACCUUCUUACCCGUAACAGUUAAUUUUGCUUUGGUGGUUUUGUUUCCAGUAAGUCAUUUGGGAUUUCUUCCCUCCAUCCUUUCUGCGAUGGCAGGAUAGGAUAUUUUCCUCAGAAGCUUUUUGGAUGCUGACAUUUGAAUAGCAUUUUUCUUUCCUGACAGAAGCGCCAUGCCUGCCCUGCACUGAGUUCCUCAGUCCAUUUGAUUUCAUUAACCUCUUUCACUUCUUCCUUAAAGACUGCCAUUAGAAAUUGAAAUCCUGACUUGAAUACUCACUAUCUUGAUCACUUCUUUGCUUUCAAUUUAAAAUCAAAUCAUAAGGAGGUGGCAUCAACGUUACCCGUUACAGAUGUCAGCCAAGGCAGUGUAGCUGAUUCCCCUUGGUGUUUCUG
rnacentral:lncRNA from 1 species